rnacentral:lncRNA from 1 species
UGAAUAAAAAGAAAUGCUUGGGUUAUGAUAAGAGGUUGUAGAGACCAACGUUUCAUUAUGCAGAUGAAGUCUCCAGGUAGCAGGCCUCAGAGAGAAUAGGCUGUAAAUGUUUCUUAGGGGACUGAAAGGGUCUGUUCCAUCAGUAAUUCCAAAAGGUAGGAGGGUAUAAUUAGGCAUGUCUGUCUCCUCCUUCCCAUCAUGGCCUCAACUAGUUUUUCAGGUUGACUUUGAAAUGCUCUUGGCUGAGAGGCGGAGUCUAUUCAGAUGGUUGGGGGACUUAGAAUUUUAUUUUUGGUUUACAUCUUGAAUGAUUAUGGAGAAAGUUCUUCUUUCCCCAUAUUUUAUCUCGUUAUGUUUCUCUACUCUCCAGAAAUGACUGAGGAGAAUAUUUACACAGAGGUGAAAUCUCAUGACAAAAGAAAAAAUACGAUCCAGAACUACUGGCAGUCAAUAUACUUAUGGACACCCGUGUUCCAAGUGCUGUGCGAGCUGCCAGUGAUACUAAGAAGACACUGUGUUUUGUUGUGGUUUACUGCAAUGCUUUCUUGCACUAGAUUUAAAAAUCCUCAAGAAUGACACUUAUUUCCAAAUACCUAUGUUGGUGCAUUUGAAAUCUAAAAGAAAGCCAAUGUAGGAGGAGACUGGGAGUAGGGAGAGUCACAGAAGAUGAAGAAGUAGAGGCCAGAGAAUGAGUUAAUUUUUGAUGCUUAUCUUACAUUCGAAGGGAAGUCAUUUUCAAUGGAGGAGAGAAAGGGUAAAGAUUGCAUUUUAGGAGAAUAGGCUGCCUGCAGUGUGGAGGAUUUAUUAGCUGAAGAUGAGUGGAUACAAUCUAAAAUUUCCUUGUUGUGAAAAGUCUUUGCAGUUUAUGAGUCUCAUAGUAUAGGAAAAGUAAGGAGUGUUUAAAUAAAUUUAAAUCAAACACAAAUAAAUCUGUGACUGUAAAAUCGUUCCAUCACCUGUGACUCUCACUUCAAAUUUUUACAAAAAGGACAAAUAGCAGUGACAGUACUUUUGCCCACUCCUACCUUAUAAACCCUAGUGCCACUACUGUUGGACACUACUGUUUCAGCAAAUAAGGAAACAUAUAAGACAAAGAACACAGGAGUCAGGAGGAAGCAGCUUAUUUUGAUCAAGUUGUGACAAGUUGAGCAUUAAUAAUAAUAAAUUAAUUGAAAUACACUAAUAUUUUAUAAGGCAAUGAGUUUCUAAUGAUACUUAAAAGACAAAAGUUCUCUAGAUUACAACUAUUGGUAGUUAUUAAUAUUGUUUUGUUUCAAACACUGUUGCAAUUACACUUUUAAUUUAUAUGCUAAUUUCUUUCAUCUGAUUUAUCACGCCAAUAUGUUUGUGUCGCAAUAUAAUCAUGAAUUGUUUACUUGUAGGUCACCCGUCCAAGGGCUGUGCUAGCUGCCAGUGAUACUAAGAUGCUGUGUUUUACUAUUGGUAGCUGUAAUCUAAGAGGAGGAAUAUAAUAGAUUAGAUUUAAAAAAUGUAUUUCAAUAAACUGAUAAAAAUUUUA